UACGAAGGGUGCAAGCGUUAGUCGGAAUUACUGGGCGUAAAGCGUGCGUAGGCGGUUUCUUAAGUCGGAUGUGAAAGCCCCGGGCUCAACCUGGGAACCGCGCUUGAGACUGGAGAACUAGAGUUCGGGAGAGGAUGGUGGAAUUCCCAGUGUAGAGGUGAAAUUCGUAGAUAUUGGGAAGAACACCGAUGGCGAAGGCAGCCAUCUGGACCGACACUGACGCUGAGGCGCGAAAGCGUGGGGAGCAAACAGG
rnacentral:rRNA from 1 species